GAAACAUGUAAUUGCAGUGGUGUUUACAACCAAUUGAUCACAACCAAUCAUAGAUUUCUUUGUUCCUUCCCCACUCUCAACACUUCAUUUGACUAGA
ensembl:misc_RNA Y_RNA Y RNA